rnacentral:rRNA from 1 species
GACGUAGGGUGCAAGCGUUGUCCGGAUUUACUGGGCGUAAAGAGCGCGUAGGCGGCUCAUUAAGUGUGAAGUGAAAUCUUCAGGGCUCAACCCGAAAACUGCUUUACAUACUGAUGAGCUUGAGGAAUGCAGAGGUUAGUGGAAUUCCUGGUGUAGCGGUGAAAUGCGUAGAUAUCGGGAGGAACACCAGUGGCGAAGGCGACUUCCUGGCCUGUUCUUGACGCUGAGGCGCGAAAGCUAGGGGAGCAAACGGG